rnacentral:rRNA from 1 species
GAUGAACGCUGGCGGCGUGCCUAAUACAUGCAAGUCGAGCGAACGGACGAGAAGCUUGCCUCUCUGAUGUUAGCGGCGGACGGGUGAGUAACACGUGGAUAACCUACCUAUAAGACUGGGAUAACUUCGGGAAACCGGAGCUAAUACCGGAUAAUAUUUUGAACCGCAUGGUUCAAAAGUGAAAGACGGUCUUGCUGUCACUUAUAGAUGGAUCCGCGCUGCAUUAGCUAGUUGGUAAGGUAACGGCUUACCAAGGCAACGAUGCAUAGCCGACCUGAGAGGGUGAUCGGCCACACUGGAACUGAGACACGGUCCAGACUCCUACGGGAGGCAGCAGUAGGGAAUCCUCCGCAAUGGGCGAAAGCCUGACGGAGCAACGCCGCGUGAGUGAUGAAGGUCUUCGGAUCGUAAAACUCUGUUAUUAGGGAAGAACAUAUGUGUAAGUAACUGUGCACAUCUUGACGGUACCUAAUCAGAAAGCCACGGCUAACUACGUG